rnacentral:rRNA from 1 species
UACGUAGGUGGCAAGCGUUGUCCGGAUUUACUGGGCGUAAAGGGCGCGCAGGCGGUCGGAUAAGUCGAAUGUGAAAGCCCCCGGCUCAACUGGGGAGGGUCAUUCGAUACUGUUCGACUGGAAGGCAGGAGAGGGAAGCGGAAUUCCCGGUGUAGUGGUGAAAUGCGUAGAUAUCGGGAGGAACACCAGUGGCGAAGGCGGCUUCCUGGCCUGUUCUUGACGCUGAGGCGCGAAAGCUAGGGGAGCAAACGGG